UACGUAGGUGACAAGCGUUAUCCGGAUUUAUUGGGCGUAAAGAGAACGCAGGCGGUCUUUUAAGUCUGAUGUGAAAGCCUUCGGCUUAACCGGAGUAGUGCAUUGGAAACUGGGAGACUUGAGUGCAGAAGAGGAGAGUGGAACUCCAUGUGUAGCGGUGAAAUGCGUAGAUAUAUGGAAGAACACCAGUGGCGAAAGCGGCUCUCUGGUCUGUAACUGACGCUGAGGUUCGAAAGCGUGGGUAGCAAACAGG
rnacentral:rRNA from 1 species